GGCUCUUGGCGCGCCGCGGCCCGCAGGCACCUGGCACGGCACGCGCCUUCCCCGCCGCACCCGGCACGCGCCUUCCCCGCCGCCAGGAUGCCCAAGAGGAAGGUCAGCUCCCCCGAAGGGGCCGCCAAGGAAGAGCCCAAGAGGAGAUCGGGGCGGUUGUCAGCUAAACCUCCUGGAAAAGUGGAAGCGAGGCCGAAAAAGGCAGCAGCGAAGGAUAAAUCUUCAGACAAAAAAGUGCAAACAAAAGGGAAAAGGGGAGCAAAGGGAAAACAGGCUUAAGUGGCUAACCAAGAAACUAAAGAAGAUUUACCUGCAGAAAACCGGGAAACGAAAACUGAGGAGCGUCCAGCCUCUGAUGAAGCAGGAGAGAAAGAAGCCAAGUCUGAUUAA